rnacentral:rRNA from 1 species
AACGCGAAGAACCUUACCUGGGUUUGACAUGCACUAGACAGCUCCAGAGAUGGGGUUUCCCUUGUGGUUGGUGUACAGGUGGUGCAUGGCUGUCGUCAGCUCGUGUCGUGAGAUGUUGGGUUAAGUCCCGCAACGAGCGCAACCCUUGCCCCAUGUUGCCAGCGGGUUAUGCCGGGGACUCGUGGGGGACUGCCGGGGUCAACUCGGAGGAAGGUGGGGAUGACGUCAAGUCAUCAUGCCCCUUAUGCCCAGGGCUUCACACAUGCUACAAUGGCCGGUACAGAGGGUGGCGAUAUCGUGAGGUGGGGCGAAUCCCUUAAAGCCGGUCUCAGUUCGGAUCGGGGUCUGCAACUCGACCCCGUGAAGUCGGAGUCGCUAGUAAUCGCAGAUCAGCAUUGCUGCGGUGAAUACGUUCCCGGGCCUUGUACACACCG